rnacentral:lncRNA from 1 species
CUUUGAACAAAACCACUCACUUACUGCCUUUGAUUUGAAUGCAUUGUCUUUAAUUCCCUAUAACUCCUUCAUGUAAACUGCAAAUGCAAAAUUUCCUUUGCAAAAGAUGUAUGUCUUGAAGUUGCUCUUCCAGCCGCACCUUUCGAUUUCCAAAAGCUUUCGUAAGACUCCUCUUAAAUUCAAAAGAGUAAUAGUAGGUCUCAAAUUGACACCUUAACUUCAAACGGCUAUAACUUAUUCACCCUCAUUCCAAACCCUAUAAAAUUUACACAAAAAUUGUAGCCAAAUCCUAAACUUUACAACCCUUGCCUUUGAUUUCCUAAUGGCCUCUUUGAAGUCGCCAAAAUCCUUAUCAAGGUCGCGGAUAGCCUCCUAAAAGUCCAUUCGGCAUGGAUUUCGACCAAUGGAGAUGAAGAUCCUUAUUUCUACCUUCAUCCAACCAUGCCUUGGUUUCAUCCCUCUCAAUUAACCUCCUAUUAGUUUAAAUCUUUAUCUUUAGGCUUCUACCUUCUCCCAAGGCUUCAUACUAAACAUUUAGGUCCUAUAUAUAUAUAUAUAUAUAUAUAUAUAUAUAUUUAAUGUCAAAACCAAAAGAAAUAAAGAAACAAAGUAAAGUUUCUUAUACCAACUCUUUUUAAUUUAAUCUACUAGCCACUCUAACACACAUCUAGAUUUAUCAACAUAUAAUAUGUUUUAUUUAAUUUUUACAUACUGUAAACAUUUACAAUACGUCACCGCAACCUCCAAUCUAUGGAUGAAUUAUACUUUUUCUACUACGAAAGACCAAGAAUAAUAGGAUUUGAUGAGGUUCUAAUAAUAUUGAAAAUAAUAUGAGUACAAUGGCCCUUAAACGUCACUUCUAUAGGUUUUGAUUCAUAGGUGACACUACCAGACAAUAAAAGUCGCCCAUCUAUGACCUCAACGUGAACAGGUUUGGAUUUUUGUACUAAAGAGAUCUUAUGAUGCUUCGCAAAUUCUUCGUCUAAGAAACCAGCAUAUGCUCCUAAAUCUAAUAAUGCUAAGGUUCUCAGUUUCUAAUGGCCAAUAAAUAAAGAGAUUGUAAAACAAAUGGCAGGUUGAGUGGAAAGAAAGGAACCUAGUUGUUGUUUCGAUAUUUCACUAUCUAGUCGCACAAUUCCUUUUGUGGCUGGGCAUCUUCGUUUUUCUGAGCAAACGCACCUCUGGUCCUGACAAUGCAUCGAUUUUGCUUCUUGGGGCAGUUUCCAACUUUGUGGCCUUCUUCACCGCAAUACAAGCAUAGACCUUCCUCUAUAUGCUAUUUUUUUUCUUCUAGAGUAAAGAAUUUGACAUGUACUGCAUCAAUUUGUAUGUCUUCUACCUUUGAAUGUGAAUUCACGCUGAUUGUUAAUAUAGUUGAGGUGUGGUAAACCAUAUGUUGUCUUGAGCAUUGGUCUUGGCGACGUUGGAAUAGGCAGUUACCGCACUUCACAGCUUAGCUAAUAGCUUUGUUGAACAUUGUUGGGGUAGAGAGAGUUUGCCUCAAGAAAACGUUGGGCUUUUGGUUGUCACUAAUUAUUCAAUCAAGCUUGAAAAUAAGAGAAGCCCUAAGUUUAUAUAUAAUUUUUUUUUCUUUCUGAGUAAUUACACCAAAUACACAAUCCUCAAGUAACCCACAACUUCCAAAAUAUGAUAAAAUCUUCUAAAUCCUUGUUUAUUCUUAUGUGGAGAUUUUUCCGAAAUUCAACACUUCAUAUCUCUUAAUCCGACCGUCCAAACAAACUCAAAUUUUACAUGAGAUACUGAUGUAUUCUUAUUAACUUCUAUAACGAUUUUCAACCGCAAAUUCAUUGCAGAUCUUGAGAUAUCUUGAAAUCCCUAACAGUCGCUUCAAACCCUUGUCUUUAUACAUCUGCGUGUAAUUUUCUUCAUAUCUGACAAAAUAUAAGCUCAAAUGCUACGAAAUUUGUAUGUAUAGCUUUUUAACACAAAAUUUUACAUUCUCCAAAAAGUUUGAGCCAAAAAUUCGUCCGAAAAAUCAAGUUAUGGCUUCAACCAUUACUACAAAUAAAUCAGCUUACUUAUUGCUUUUGAUUUGGAAGUGUCGCCUUCAACUCCUUACAACUCCUUCAUAUGAACUCCAAAAGCAAUAAUUCUUUUGUAAAAGAUGUAGGCCGUAAAAUCGCCAUUCUAGUCGCACCUUUCAAUCUUCAAAAGCUACUGUAAAACUCCUCGUACUCUCAAAAGAGUAACAGUAUGUCUUAAAUAAACACCUUAACUUCAAACGGUUAUGACUUUUCACCCUAACUCCAAAUCCUCUAAUUUUUGUAAAAAAAUUGUUCUCCAAAUCUUAGACUUUACAACCCUAGCUUCUAAUAUCCAAAUGCCUCUUUUGAAGUCAUCGAAACCCUUCUUAAGGUCGCAGGCAGCCUCCUCAAAGCCCAUU